rnacentral:rRNA from 1 species
ACGCUCGACACCUACUGGAGGCAGCAGUUGGGAAUAUUGGACAAUGGAGGAAACUCUGAUCCAGUGACGCCGCGUGAAGGAAGAAGGUCUUCGGAUUGUAAACUUAUUUUGUCAGGGAAGAAAAAAUGACUGUACCUGAAGAAAAAGCACCGGCUAACUACGUGCCAGUAGCCGCGGUAAUCUGAGCGGGCUGGCAAGGC